GCCUGGGUGGCUCAGUGGGUUGAGCGUCUGACUUCAGCUCAGGUCAUGAUCUCACAGUUUGUGGGUUCAAGGCCCACGUCAGGCU
rnacentral:tRNA from 1 species